GUCCUUUGUUUACAAUUACAUGUACAACUUUCUCCGACUUUCGAGGACGUGUUUUAUGCCACUUCUUUUUCUGUCUCAUUUUGUCCACCAAACUUAUAACGUUGUGCGUGAGUGCACAAAGUGAUAAAAUCGCACGCAUGCAAGACAGCACAACAACUCGCCCUGACAAACUGCUUGGUCAGUCCUCCUGCCUUUACAUCCGCAAGCAAUACAAGGUGGAACUCAUCUUCAAGGCAGACUGCGGGUACAUUUCCAGUGACGGACCUCAAGCGGCGAUUGUAGCUUUUUGAGCGUGAACAAUCUCCAUAUCUGCCAUAAAGGUGACGGUCCAAGAGGGGACUCUUCACAAAUCUACUGAGGGCAGCCGGGUCGCGGGGGGUCGCCGGAGCCUAGCUGCAUUCGGACGGAAGGCAGAGUACACUCUGGACAAGUCGCCACCUCAUCGCAGGGCCAACACAGAUAGACAUACAACAUUCACACUCACAUUCACACACUAGGACCAAUUUAGUGUUGCCAAUCAACUUAUCCCCAGGUGCAUGUCUUUGGAAGUGGGAGGAAGCCGGAGUACCCGGAGGGAACCCAUGCAGUCACGAGGAGAACAUGCAAACUCCACACAAAAAGACCCUGAGCCCGGGAUUGGACCCAGGACAACUCAGGACCUUCGUAUUGUGAGGCACAUGCACUAACCCCUGUUCCAUCGUGCUGCCCCAGAUAUUUUGUAAAUGUGAGUAAUACGUAACUAUAGUUAUUUGUUAUAUUGACAUUUGUUGUGUUUGGACUGCAAUUAAUCAA